GGUUAAGCGACUAAGCGUACACGGUGGAUGCCCUGGCAGUCAGAGGCGAUGAAGGGCGUGCUAAUCUGCGAUAAGCGCCGGUAAGGUGAUAUGAACCGUUAUAACCGGCGAUACCCGAAUGGGGAAACCCAGUGUGUUUCGACACACUAUCAUUAACUGAAUCCAUAGGUUAAUGAGGCGAACCGGGGGAACUGAAACAUCUAAGUACCCCGAGGAAAAGAAAUCAACCGAGAUUCCCCCAGUAGCGGCGAGCGAACGGGGAGGAGCCCAGAGCCUGAAUCAGCAUGUGUGUUAGUGGAAGCGUCUGGAAAGGCGCGCGAUACAGGGUGACAGCCCCGUACACAAAAGCGCAUGUGCUGUGAGCUCGAUGAGUAGGGCGGGACACGUGGUAUCCUGUCUGAAUAUGGGGGGACCAUCCUCCAAGGCUAAAUACUCCUGACUGACCGAUAGUGAACCAGUACCGUGAGGGAAAGGCGAAAAGAACCCCGGCGAGGGGAGUGAAAAAGAACCUGAAACCGUGUACGUACAAGCAGUGGGAGCCCCACCACUAAGCCAGUGGUGAACUCCACAUACGCAUCCUUUGCUGAGGAUACGGUUAACGGAGCGAAAGCGACGUUCAACCUCAAAAGAAGCAGAGGGGGCUUAGUGGUGGGGUGACUGCGUACCUUUUGUAUAAUGGGUCAGCGACUUAUAUUCUGUAGCAAGGUUAACCGAAUAGGGGAGCCGGAGGGAAACCGAGUCUUAAUUGGGCGUUAAGUUGCAGGGUAUAGACCCGAAACCCGGUGAUCUAGCCAUGGGCAGGUUGAAGGUUGGGUAACACUAACUGGAGGACCGAACCGACUAAUGUUGAAAAAUUAGCGGAUGACCUGUGGCUGGGGGUGAAAGGCCAAUCAAACCGGGAGAUAGCUGGUUCUCCCCGAAAGCUAUUUAGGUAGCGCCUCGUGAAUUCAUCUCCGGGGGUAGAGCACUGUUUCGGCUAGGGGGCCAUCCCGGCUUACCAACCCGAUGCAAACUGCGAAUACCGGAGAAUGUUAUCACGGGAGACACACGGCGGGUGCUAACGUCCGUCGUGAAGAGGGAAACAACCCAGACCGCCAGCUAAGGUCCCAAAGUCAUGGUUAAGUGGGAAACGAUGUGGGAAGGCCCAGACAGCCAGGAUGUUGGCUUAGAAGCAGCCAUCAUUUAAAGAAAGCGUAAUAGCUCACUGGUCGAGUCGGCCUGCGCGGAAGAUGUAACGGGGCUAAACCAUGCACCGAAGCUGCGGCAGCGACGCUGAUGCGUUGUUGGGUAGGGGAGCGUUCUGUAAGCCUGCGAAGGUGGCCUGUGAGGGUUGCUGGAGGUAUCAGAAGUGCGAAUGCUGACAUAAGUAACGAUAAAGCGGGUGAAAAGCCCGCUCGCCGGAAGACCAAGGGUUCCUGUCCAACGUUAAUCGGGGCAGGGUGAGUCGACCCCUAAGGCGAGGCCGAAAGGCGUAGUCGAUGGGAAACGGGUUAAUAUUCCCGUACUUGGUGUUACUGCGAAGGGGGGACGGAGAAGGCUAUGUUGGCCGGGCGACGGUUGUCCCGGUUUAAGCGUGUAGGUGUGUGUUCCAGGUAAAUCCGGUUCACUUUAACACUGAGGCGUGAUGACGAGGCACUACGGUGCUGAAGCAACAAAUGCCCUGCUUCCAGGAAAAGCCUCUAAGCAUCAGGUAACAUCAAAUCGUACCCCAAACCGACACAGGUGGUCAGGUAGAGAAUACCAAGGCGCUUGAGAGAACUCGGGUGAAGGAACUAGGCAAAAUGGUGCCGUAACUUCGGGAGAAGGCACGCUGACACGUAGGUGAAGUGAUUUACUCAUGGAGCUGAAGUCAGUCGAAGAUACCAGCUGGCUGCAACUGUUUAUUAAAAACACAGCACUGUGCAAACACGAAAGUGGACGUAUACGGUGUGACGCCUGCCCGGUGCCGGAAGGUUAAUUGAUGGGGUCAGCGCAAGCGAAGCUCCUGAUCGAAGCCCCGGUAAACGGCGGCCGUAACUAUAACGGUCCUAAGGUAGCGAAAUUCCUUGUCGGGUAAGUUCCGACCUGCACGAAUGGCGUAAUGAUGGCCAGGCUGUCUCCACCCGAGACUCAGUGAAAUUGAACUCGCUGUGAAGAUGCAGUGUACCCGCGGCAAGACGGAAAGACCCCGUGAACCUUUACUAUAGCUUGACACUGAACAUUGAGCCUUGAUGUGUAGGAUAGGUGGGAGGCUUUGAAGUGUGGACGCCAGUCUGCAUGGAGCCGGCCUUGAAAUACCACCCUUUAAUGUUUGAUGUUCUAACGUGGACCCGUGAUCCGGGUUGCGGACAGUGUCUGGUGGGUAGUUUGACUGGGGCGGUCUCCUCCUAAAGAGUAACGGAGGAGCACGAAGGUUGGCUAAUCCUGGUCGGACAUCAGGAGGUUAGUGCAAUGGCAUAAGCCAGCUUGACUGCGAGCGUGACGGCGCGAGCAGGUGCGAAAGCAGGUCAUAGUGAUCCGGUGGUUCUGAAUGGAAGGGCCAUCGCUCAACGGAUAAAAGGUACUCCGGGGAUAACAGGCUGAUACCGCCCAAGAGUUCAUAUCGACGGCGGUGUUUGGCACCUCGAUGUCGGCUCAUCACAUCCUGGGGCUGAAGUAGGUCCCAAGGGUAUGGCUGUUCGCCAUUUAAAGUGGUACGCGAGCUGGGUUUAGAACGUCGUGAGACAGUUCGGUCCCUAUCUGCCGUGGGCGCUGGAGAACUGAGGGGGGCUGCUCCUAGUACGAGAGGACCGGAGUGGACGCAUCACUGGUGUUCGGGUUGUCAUGCCAAUGGCACUGCCCGGUAGCUAAAUGCGGAAGAGAUAAGUGCUGAAAGCAUCUAAGCACGAAACUUGCCCCGAGAUGAGUUCUCCCUGAGACUUAGAGUCUCCUGAAGGAACGUUGAAGACGACGACGUUGAUAGGCCGGGUGUGUAAGCGCAGCGAUGCGUUGAGCUAACCGGUACUAAUGAACCGUGAGGCUUAACCUU
rnacentral:rRNA from 1 species